rnacentral:RNase_P_RNA from 1 species
UGAGUUGGCCGAACAGCCGCCGUUUUAUUUUUUAAUAAAAGGGAGGAAAGUCCGGGCUCCAUAGGGCAGGGUGCCAGGUAAUGCCUGGGAGGCGUGAGCCUACGGAAAGUGCCGCAGAAAAUAUACCGCCUGGUUUUUCGAAACCCGGUAAGGGUGAAAUGGUGCGGUAAGAGCGCACCGCGCGACUGGUAACAGGCGUGGCAGGGAAAACCCCACCCGGAGCAAGAUCAAAUAGAGGAGCAUACGCGUGGCCCGCGCGGCUCCUGGGUAGAUUGCUUGAGCGGCAAGGUGACUUGCCGCCUAGAUGAAUGGCUGUUCUCGACAGAACCCGGCUUACAGGCCAACUCACUUC